rnacentral:lncRNA from 1 species
CAUUCAGAUUCCGGCAUAACCCAUCAUCUUGUCUUUCAGACCCUGACUCAGCCGAGAUUCGCCACUUGUCUCGCUAGCCUUGUCAUUCUGACUCCGGCACAACCCAUCACCUUGUCUUUCAGACCCUGACUCAGCCGAGACUCGCCACACAUUUCCGGCUGGUGAACCGGCUCUGAUACAAAAUGUAACAACCCAGCCCAUUAACAAUAAUAACUCGUUGGGCCCAAACACCGACCCAAAAUGCUUAAGCUCAGUUAUUAUUACUAGUGUCUAAGUCUCUUAUAUACCCAAUCACAUCCCCAUUUCUAUCCGAUGUGGGAUUAUUGGAGUGUGACAAAAUCGAUUAGCUGGGAGAAGGUAUUCCGAACUCGCAUUCAACUUAUGUGAAUUCUACACAGGUGUUACUUAUACGGAUCUUGAUAUGUCCCUUCUAUCUUAAAGAAAUUAUUUCUCUCUCUAAAUUAUUUCUUUGCAUAAAAUUUUACUUCACUUUGAGCCUUAAACACUUUACCACUAUCUUAAUUACUACAUCUGAUAAUUUAAGAUAAUCACUGAAUUU